GUUCUGAAGGAAUCCUCAAUCACCACUGAAAAUGUAUUAGCUUUCUGCCACUGCCAUGGCAUGUGUGAGAAGUGUGAUGUGGGCCUCAGGAGACUCAGAGCAGGGUGACAGCAGGGACAGGCUCCUUCUGGAGACAGUAAGAUGAUCCAUUCCUUCUUUACACUGUGUUGGCUGAGAGCUGACCGCACUUCUCCCUCUCUCUGAUCCCCCUCCUGGUCAUCAAAGAUGUCAAGGAACACUCACCUACCUGCCUUGGCGAUCUUUAAGAUGAUUCCUAGAGGGUUGAGGAGAUGGAUCAGUGGAAAACAGGGUUGCUCUGAAAACAUGAGGAGGACUUGAAUUCAGAUUCCAAGAACCCACAAAAAGCCAGACAUGGUAACACACCCCUGUAACCCCAGCAUCCUUAUAGCAAGACUGGAGAGAGAGACAGAAGAGCGUCCUGAUGCUGUCAGCCCAGCUUGCCUGCUCGUCACAGCAGCAUUCACAAGACAGAAGACAAAAGACCAAAAUCAGAGCCUGUGCUCCGACACCACAAGCACAUGUGGCACAUGUGAAUCACGGUGUACACACCAAAUGCACACACAAAGAGACACACACAGACAGACACAUCAUUUUUUGAAAGAGCAGACACCCCCUUGUCUGGCAGGCCUGAAGCCUUGAAGCUUCUUCCUUAAGUCCUGUGACACUGGUGGGGGAGGUGGUGUUCAUAAAGCUCUUAGCUGAACGCUCCUCUCUCCACCCACUCCUACGCUUCCUCCCCAAACCUAAAACCGUGAAUGCCCACUAAUGAAGGUAUGUGUCUUCCACGGCCUUAACCAGUACACACCAGAGGCCAGGUAGUUGUCUGAGCCUACUCAGCAGGAGGGAGAAUGGUGGGUAUCAGCCAAGUCAGAGAAGAGCUGCAGCCAAGCAGACAAACAUGGUAGGGCUCGGGCAGCCACAGGCUUCUGAGAAAAGCAGCCCACUUUCUUACGCUGCUCACUUGGCUUUUAAGUAAGAUUUGCUCUGUGCUCACAGUACCUCAGGGCUCUCAUACCAUGCCUCAAAAUCCACUCUGUUUCCUCAGACUGUGAGCUCCAUAUUGGGGUGGGUAUUGGAGGCAGUGUCACUGUCUAAAUCAUGUAACUUUAAACUAGCCCCUUCCCCAGCCAGAGUCUUGCUUUGCCUCCAGUGAAAGCCGAUCCUCCCAGGAGAAUGCAUCCCAUCUAGUUGAGAUUUAUGCUAAUGGCCCUCGAGCCUCUCUGAUUCAGUUUAGAUCUUUUUAAACGCCUUGAUUAAAUUUGGAUUUUCCAAAAAUGUCAGAAGACUUUGAAUCAGGAAGUGCAAAUUCGUCGCAAGUUUGCCAAAGUGUGGGACGAUUCUCUCCUUCAGCCCUUCACGCUCUUUCGCUCUUUCGUGACUGAGACCCGUGGUUUACACAAAUGGGUACAUAUUUAGCAUGACGGCUGAGGAAAAACACUUGCCAGGAUCACACCCCAUCUCCCUUGCCUCACAGGCUCCGGGCACCUUGUAGGUCAAGGCAAGCUUGGGUCUCUUCAGUCCCCUGACCACGUCUGCACACAGCCAGGCUGUGAGUUCCAAGUUAACUCAGCUGCCCCCUUAGGAAGACACAGGACGGCUGCAGCAAAUCUCUCAGAGGGGCAAUAUGCAGGUGUCCAGCUGCUCACAUGGGGAGUUCUGGGAGGAGCCGAGAGUAGCCCACUGUCCACCUUUGGACCUGGCCAGUUGCUUUGGGUCAUGGAGUUUAUCGCAGAAACAGAAAGCAAACAAGGAUGCCUUCCCUGGACCUCGAGAGCUGAGCCUUCGCAAGAUCAGCGGGUGGAGCCUCACAGCCCACAGAGCAAGCAGCAGAGCAGUGCAGAGCAGGCCCCCACAAUGAGAACGUUCACCUCAGGAGAGGGCAAACUCGGGUCUGGGCUCUCUUGCAGGCCUCCAGGCUCACUCAGUAUCUGUGGCCCCUCAGCUUUUCCUGUCCCACCCCCAACCCUAAACUUCUCCUGCUCGAGGGCUUUGCUUUCUCCAGCCUCUCAUUCCUAUAGAACCCUGCCACUGCAGACAUGCACUCUCUUCUUGCUCUCUUGGCCCGGCUCGCACACUUUGGCCCUCCGCAUUUACUCUCUGCCACCCUCCCCCACCCCCAUGACCCAGCUCCGUCUACUGCUCGUGUUAGUCGACUGCUUUCUCUCCCUGCUCCGAACCCUUCCGGAUGCGUCUGGCUGUUCUCUCCCUUGCACCUACAAUAAAACCUUCCCUUCGACUAUA